rnacentral:rRNA from 1 species
AUGUGGAAUCUUCGAAAGGGAGUUGUGCUAACGAAAGACAAUCUCGCCCGUCGCAAUUGGCAUGGAAGUAAGAAGUGUAGUUUUUAUACUCAUGACGAGACAAUCAAACACCUCUUUUUUUAAUGCAAGUUUGUGCGCUCUACGUGGUCAGUCAUCCAAAUAGCAUCCAAUUUAUAUCCGCCCACAAGUGUUGCCAAGAUUUUUGGUCAUUGGUUGGACGGCAUUUUAGAUAGGUUCAAAAUGCUAAUUCGGGUGGGAGCAUAUGCCUUAUUAUGGGCACUCUGGCUGUGUAGGAAGGAUUUGGUUUUUGAGGGCAAAAACACCUCUCCUUUGCAGGUUAUUUUUCGUUGUACGCACUCGCCUCAUACAUGGUCUACACUACACCGAAUGGAGUAUCAACCGCUAUUCAAGACGGUGUGUACGCGGUUGGAGCGGGUGGCCAGGGAGGUCUUCACUCAGCAUGGGUGGCAGCAUAAUCUACGGAUAGCCGCACCAACUCCUUCGACAUAG